rnacentral:lncRNA from 1 species
UCACUUUUGUGAAGAAAAUAUUAUAAUAAAUAUAAUUUCUUAAAUAAAACUUGCAUAACCAUAUUAACUAAUCACAUUAUAAGAAACAGGAAAGACAAUUUUCGAUGUGCAUAUUGCUAAUCUUUUUUUAUGUGAACAGUGAAAAUCGAAUGUUACAAAAUUUGUUUGUUGAUUCAUCAUACGCGCUAAAUCAUCGGUGAAAGAUGUAUGUUAUUUGGGAUAGGUUAAAAUUUAUAUGUUUAUUAUUUCUUGAAGAAAUAACAUGAGACGGAUACUCUUCUAAUCGCAGAAGAUUAGUUGCCUUGUUUUCAACGAUGGAUUAACCUGCGACGAAACUAUUUCAAGCGGAUAUUAUUGUUUUCAUUGUACCGUGCAAGUGAUCGCAUUUAAGUUAUUGGAAACGCCGCCAAAACAAGGAGGGCGCUAAAGUAUUCUUAGCCAAGUAUAUAAUCCUCUGAAAUUCUUAUCGCGCUUUUUACUUUCAUUAUAAAAAUGGUAAACAUUGUCAUAUUUGAAUGUCAAUAGAAGUCAUCGGUUUUCAAAAGGUACAAAUUCUACAAUAGAAUUCCUCUAUACAGAACGGUUAUUAUUUUCCUUGUUCUACAUACAUACGUAUAUUUUACUGAUUGUGGCAUCAUUUGCAAUUCAGCAUAAGGAAACGUCAGAAAGGAAAUAAGAAUAUGCAGGAUUACAGCAAGGAUCAAAACACCUGUUACUCUAAUGUCUUGAGGAUGAAAGAUGAAAAUUGGCACGAACUUCGAACCUGAAACGGGAACUUCGUGGAAGAAUGAAACCUCUGGAAGGAGAGCGACGCUAAUGGCAAUAGGGUUAAACCAAGAUGGCGUGCAAUCUUAAGUUCUCUUCAGCUACAUUUAAACAUGGUUUAAGCCGUACUUUUAAACAGUUAUAUAAAUCCAUCAAUGAAAACUGAUUUUAAUUACAACUUGA